rnacentral:rRNA from 1 species
AGUAACGCGUAAAGAACUUGCCUCACAGUUAGGGACAACAUUUGGAAACGAAUGCUAAUACCUAAUAUUAUGAUAAUAGGGCAUCCUAUAAUUAUGAAAGCUGUAAGCGCUGUGAGAGAGCCUUGCGUCCCAUUAGCUAGUUGGAGAGGUAACGGCUCACCAAGGCGAUGAUGGGUAGCCGGCCUGAGAGGGUGAUCGGCCACAAGGGGACUGAGACACGGCCCUU